rnacentral:rRNA from 1 species
UACAGAGAGUGCGAGCGUUAAUCGGAAUUACUGGGCGUAAAGCGCACGUAGGUGGAUAUUUAAGUCGGAUGUGAAAUCCCUGAGCUUAACUUAGGAAUUGCAUUCGAUACUGGGUGUCUAGAAUAUGGUAGAGGGAAGUGGAAUUUCUGGUGUAGCGGUGAAAUGCGUAGAUAUCAGAAGGAACAUCAGUGGCGAAAGCGGCUUCCUGGACCAAUAUUGACACUUAGGUGCGAAAGCGUGGGGAGCAAACAGG